CCACGGGCGAACCGGGAGGGGAGGAAAGUCCGGGCAACACAGGGCACCGCACUGGUGAAACUGCCAGACGGGCGUAAGUUCGUGCCACCGUAACAGAGAACAACCGCCGCAGCUGAGCGCCUCGCCCUCCACGGGUGAGACCGGCCAGGCAAGGGUGAAAAGGUGGUGUAAGAGACCACCGGUGCCGGCAGCAAUGUCGGCAGCCGUACGGACUGCGGGUUGCAAGACCAUGUACACCGAUGCUGCUCUGCGCAAGGGUUUCGAUCCGGGCGCGGGGCUGAAGGGCGGCCCGUCCGAGUCGGGGGGUAGGUUGCUGACGAUCCGGCGGGAGACCGUCGGGCUGGAUAAAUGGCAGAGGCUUGAAGGGGGGACAGGUUGUUUCGGUUCUCCGGAGCAGGAACGACACCCCUCUAAAAGUACAGAACCCGGCUUAUACCCUU
rnacentral:RNase_P_RNA from 1 species